CCAACCUAUCUUUUUCGUCCGGGAUAACUAGCCGAAAGGUUAGCUAAUACCUGAUAAGAUCACCGAGUGGCAUCACAUGGUGAUGAAAGCAGAAAUGCGCGGAUUGAGGGGGCUGCGGCCCAUUAGCUAGUUGGUGAGGUAAUGGCCCACCAAGGCGACGAUGGGUAGCUGGUCUGAGAGGACGACCAGCCACACUGGGACUGAGACACGGCCCAG
rnacentral:rRNA from 1 species